UUGGAGGGCAAGUCUGGUGCCAGCAGCCGCGGUAAUUCCAGCUCCAAUAGCGUAUAUUAAAGUUGUUGCAGUUAAAAAGCUCGUAGUUGAAUUUCGGGAUUGACACAUCGGUCGUGCCUUAAGGGGUAUGAACUGGUGUAGUCAAUUUCUCACCUUCUGGAGAACCGCGAUGCCCUUAAUUGGGUGCCGCGGGGAACCAGAACCUUUACUUUGAAAAAAUUAGAGUGUUUAAAGCAGGCAUUUUGCUUGAAUACAUUAGCAUGGAAUAAUAAAAUAGGACGGCAUGAUUCUAUUUUGUUGGCUUCUAGGAUCACCGUAAUGAUUAAUAGGGAUAGUCGGAGGCAUUAGUAUUCAACUGUCAGAGGUGAAAUUCUUGGAUUUAUUGAAGACUAACUACAGCGAAAGCAUUUGCCAAGGAUGUUUUCAUUAAUCAAGAACGAAAGUUAGGGGAUCGAAGACGAUCAGAUACCGUCGUAGUCUUAACCAUAAACUAUGCCGACUAGGAAUCAGACGAUGUUAAUUUUUUAAUGACUCGUUUGGCACCUUACGGGAAACCAAAGUGUUUGGGUUC
rnacentral:rRNA from 1 species